CCCCAAGCAUCCUUAAUUUGACUCAGCACCUCGGCAAAGGUUCCUUUCUCAUAAUAGAUUUGCAAUGUGGCCAGAGAUGCAGGUGUAGGUGCUCCUCUCAAAGGAUACCCGAAUUGCCUUUGUGCUAACACAGGAUUGUAGUUAAUACAACACCGGAUACCCAUGAGGGGCAAAUUAGGGUACCUCCCGCAAUAAUAUAUGAUUUGCGAUCUUUGNUGCCAAGGGACAUUCCAUCUAAUUUGCUCCACAUUUAAACCUGCACAGAGUUGCGCCCAUUCGUUUGUCCCUUUCAUAUUUGGUUUACACUGCAGUAGCUCAUCCACGGGACAUGUGGCAUUCAAGGCAUUCUUAAUCACCCGAGAGACAAACCACACAUACAACACUGGCAGACAGCAUAACAUUUGUCCUCCCUUUUUCUCAUAACAAUGAUGAAGGGUACCAUAAACCUCAGCUAGGACAGCGGUGACCGGAUUCUCAGAGCGAUCUUUGUAUCCCACAAAUGCAUUUAUGGCGGCGUUGUCGAUGAAGUUCUUGACGUUAGGAAAAAGCAUGACACCAUAAAGGAGAAGGGCUAAUACAUCCAUAAAUGUUCCCCACCUUUUUUCUUCAGCCAAACGAUGCAGGUAUACCUCCAAGUAUCCCUGAGGAAGGCCCCUCACUUUUCCUUUGGUUAUGAAUUCCCUUUCCAACUGCAUAGGGUGUAUUUUUAUGAUUCUUGCUAGUUGCAAAACAGGGAUAUACUGCCCAAGGUAGUUGUAUGGAGUUUUUCCCUCAAGAGGUACACCUAAGAUUUGCUCAAAUUCUUCCACUGUUGGCACCAAUUGGAAAUCCUGAAAAGUGAAACAUCUCAGUGGUGGAUCAUAAUACUGGGCUAAGGUGGUAAUUGCUGAUAUUUGAACUUCCACCUCUAUCAGGCCCAACAAAUUCCCAUACUCCCUCCUGAAUGCAUUCUUUUGGGUAGUAUUCAUUUUCUNCACCAGUUCUCUCAGACCGUCCAUAUUACCUUCCUUUGCUUUGAUGUUUAUCCUUCCCUUCAAAAUGCCUGAACUUGAAACCCACUUGACUUUAGACCUCAUGUUAAUUUCCAUUUUAUCUUGAAGGUUUAGUCACAAAUUUAUAAUUUCCUGACUAGAACCAAUGACAAGACAAUAAAACGCAUAAGAAAGAGGAAGAAAGAAAGGAAAAACAAAGAAAAAGAUGACAUGUAGAAGGUGUUAAAUUUUAUUAGACAAGAGUGAGGAUUACAAGGCUACACACAUCUCCCUUUGUGCCCUAAAUAAAGGUUCGACACUUCAGAUUGGGGGCCAAGUAUAUGCAACCUCACGAGGAUAGUAUCUUGAACCUAGAGGUCGAUGGUCACUAGAGCUAUGACCCCCUUCAUAGUAUUUCCACAACAGUCGAGUAAUCAACUAGGUGCGGAGACACAAAUGAAGAGAACAGCUUCUAGCUGGAGUUCUCACGAUAGCCAACUAGGAAGUACAUCCCAGAGUGACACCGCUACACAACUCCUCUAAUUCUAAGUUACACUCAGACCCGGGUAUAGGGCCCCACUCAAUAGAUGCACAAAGUGUGUGUGUGAAGGGAGAAUGCAAUGCACCCAAAUCCUCACCUGCAAAACAACCAGAAAAUUCCCAGGCAGAUAUAACAUGUUUUCUAGCUUAAGGUUCAAUAUUCAACAGUUAUUGCAAUUAUUCCAAAUAUCAAGCAUAGAUAAAGAAAAGGGGAAGAAAAACACAAAGCAAAACCACAUCGAAUUCGCGCAUGUAAUUAAAUGGCCUGACUCUCACAAGUCCCCAGUGGAGUCGCCAUCUGUCACAACCAGAAAAUCACGACGAGACGACGAUCCAAAGAGAAAACCGUUUGAGAAAUGUUUUGGAGUCGCCACCAUAGUUUAUUCUGGAAAACUAUGGAAAAAACCAUAAC
rnacentral:lncRNA from 1 species